AAAUCAUGUAAUAUUUUCUCUUUGUUACAAAUCGAAUGACAGAAGUUCUCCAACAACACGAUAAAGUUCACUACAAAACAUAUCACAUUAAUAGUGGCUGCUAAGAGUAAUUCACUCAGUUUGCAUCUGAGAAAGCUCUCCACAGAGCAGGAAGAACCAAGGCAUCUUAUUUCCAUGUUCUCCUUUUCUCUCUCAUCUGAGAUUUUGCUCUGUUCAAAUCAUGGAAAUACUCAACAAAGAUGCGUUUGCCAUGGCAAAUCCGAGUCCUUGUCUCAGCUGCAGUAUUUUAAUGGAUUGCAGACAGAUGGAUAUCUCUUGGGAUUCCAAAAGGCGGCCUUUGUAGUCUUCUGGGUCUGCAUCUCAAGGAUUGGUGAACUGGCCUUGUCCAUGUUCACUUCAUGGAGAAAGGGGGAGCUCCCCUUGGGACUGAAGCCCUGUGGCUCAGUGCCGGUCAUCGUGUUUCAUUCUCAGUCAUGGCAUCUUUGACACUUCUCGAGGCCUAGAACUGAUCUGUCCUCAACCUCAGCAGCAAUUCAUGACCGCACGCACUCAUUUGGCAAUCUUCACUUGUUUUACAUGCAUUAACUCGAUAUCUUUAUGUAGGAAACUAAUCCUGUUGUUUUGGCCAGGUUCGAUGUCUCGAAUAUCGGAUUUAUAGACUGGAUUGAUACAGAUCUGAUCUUUACCGAUGUACUAACACAUGAUAAACCAAGGAUUUCGAUGAGGAGAGUUCAUUCGCGGCUUACGAAUGCUUCCUUAUUAUAUAUAAUAGAGAUAUUAUUAUAUAUGAAAGAUCAGUACCACCUCAAUGUAGCAGUUCAUGAUGCUGCAGGCUUUGAUGACAUAGAAACAACAGAAUCUACAGAGAUGAUUAAGGUAAUGUGGAAGUCCAAUUAAUCUUCUUGGAAACAUAUCAUGAAAAGAAAUGCAGAUCAUAAUCUGCAUUCCAGUUGAAGCAGGCCAGGGGGGAGGAACCUUGCUCCAUUGGAGGCAAACUUGCUGAUAAAAAAUGUGUUACAUGUCACAACACCUCAUCUCCUUCCACUUGAAGCAGGAAGUCCAAACUUGCUUACUUCUGGUAUGAUGACAUGCAGUGUAUCCACCCCAAAAGUCUCCUAAACACAGCUGCCCUUGCCCAUGAACAAGACAACCUCAUCCAUAUCAUGAUCAGAACCCCUCUUGCCAUUCUCACUGCCUCCCUCUCUCAUCUCUCCGUUGCUUCCUUUAGAGAAAGAGAAGACACCCAGGGCUCACAUAUGUUCCUUGAUCUUUGAGAGUUGAGAUUUUGAGUUGCCAAAGGGCUCCAAAUUACUGAAGCACAUUUAGGAAGGUGCUGCAAAAUCAGACAGGCAAACUUUUUGGUGAUUGAGAUUCUGUGACUUGUGAAGAACCUGAAAGCUGUAUCAAAAGUCUGAAACUGAAGGAGCAUUUCACUUGCACUCUGAGUCGAGGUUUUCUGCGGUCUGCAACCUUAUUACAGUGGUAGAAUGGAAAGAAGAGAAAGGAGAACUUUGACUGAAAGACCAAGAGUGGAGUUCAUGAGGUCCCAAUCACAAGCCAAUGCCCCAAGAAGAUUUCAUUCAAGCUAUUACACAGUGGAAUCCUUCUUUAUCCUUCUCUGCCUCACAGUCUCACUGCUAAUUCUUCCUCUUAUAUUGCCACCAUUGCCUCCACCCCCUUUCUUGUUGCUGUUCAUCCCAAUAGGUCUGCUUUUUGUGCUACUGUUCAUGGCUUACAUGCCCUCACAAGCCCAGGAUGUCACCUCCCCCUACUUGGAAUGUGCUGAAACUUUCUCAUGCACAUGAAAUUGGCCAACUGCGCAGAUUUUGUAAUUUGUUUCAAAUCUAUUCUUAAUAAUGUUCAAUUGCAGAGUAAA